rnacentral:rRNA from 1 species
GUCAAGUCGAGCGAAUGGAUUAAGAGCUUGCUCUUAUGAAGUUAGCGGCGGACGGGUGAGUAACACGUGGGUAACCUGCCCAUAAGACUGGGAUAACUCCGGGAAACCGGGGCUAAUACCGGAUAACAUUUUGAACCGCAUGGUUCGAAAUUGAAAGGCGGCUUCGGCUGUCACUUAUGGAUGGACCCGCGUCGCAUUAGCUAGUUGGUGAGGUAACGGCUCACCAAGGCAACGAUGCGUAGCCGACCUGAGAGGGUGAUCGGCCACACUGGGACUGAGACACGGCCCAGACUCCUACGG